rnacentral:rRNA from 1 species
UUUUUGAUUAAUAAUUUAAAGUCUAAUCUGCCCACUGAUAAUAUAUAAAAGGGCUGCAGUAUUUUGACUGUACAAAGGUAGCAUAAUCAUUAGUCUCUUAAUUGGUGACUUGUAUGAAGGAUUUGAUGAAAUAUAUACUGUCUCUUUUUAAUUUAUAAAAUUUAAUUUUUUAGUUAAAAAGCUAAAAUUUAUUUAAAAGACGAGAAGACCCUAUAGAGUUUUAUAUUUAUAUAAAUUAAAAUUUUUUAUAAGAUUUAAAAUUUCAAUUUAUAUAAAUAUUUUGUUGGGGUGAUAAAAAAAUUAAAAUAACUUUUUUUAUAAUUUUACAUUAAUAAAUGAGUAAAUGAUCCGUAAUUUACGAUUAUAAGAUAAAAUUACCUUAGGGAUAACAGCGUAAUUUUUUUUUUUAGUUCAAAUAAGAAAAAAAGUUUGCGACCUCGAUGUUGGAUUAAGAUAAAAUUUAAAUGCAAAAGUUUAAAAUUUUUGAUCUG